CUGCAGGCCAGAUUCUGCCCUCAUUUAUACUUGUGUCUUCAAUGGGUUUACACAGGUGGAACCGAGGGCAGAAUUUAGCCCUGCAA
ensembl:miRNA